GACGAACGCUGGCGGCGUGCUUAACACAUGCAAGUCGAACGGAAAGGCGCUGCUCUUGUGGGGUGCUCGAGUGGCGAACGGGUGAGUAACACGCGAGUAAACUGUCCUUGUCUUUGGGAUAACUUCAGGAAACUGGGGCUCUUACCGGAUAGGAGCUCCUGCUGCACGGUGGGGGUUGGUAAGAUUCGGUGGUUGUGGAUGGACUCGAAGCUUAUGAGCUGGAUGGUGGAGUAGGUGAUUACCAGGGCUAUGAAGGGUAGCCGGCCUGGGAGCGGGACCGGGCACCUUGGGACUGAGAGACGCCGCAGACGGCUACGGGCCGCAGCAGGGGAGAGUAUUGCAGAGUGAGGGCGAGCCUGAUGCAGCGACGCCGCGUGCGGGAUGCCGUCUUUCGAGUUGUGAACCGCUUUCGCCUGUGACGAAGCGUGAGUGACGGUAAUGAGUAAAGAAGCCCCGGCUAACUACGUG
rnacentral:rRNA from 1 species